rnacentral:rRNA from 1 species
UACGUAGGGUGCAAGCGUUGUCCGGAAUUAUUGGGCGUAAAGAGCUCGUAGGCGGUCUGUUGCGUCGGCUGUGAAAACCCGGGGCUCAACUCCGGGCCUGCAGCCGAUACGGGCAGACUAGAGUUCGGCAGGGGAGACUGGAAUUCCUGGUGUAGCGGUGAAAUGCGCAGAUAUCAGGAGGAACACCGGUGGCGAAGGCGGGGUCUCUGGGCCGUAACUGACG